rnacentral:ribozyme from 14 species
CGACUGGUACGAUGAGUUCAUUGGAGAAAAGUCCGGGCUUCACUGCUCAACCAUCGCCAGCUAAUGA